rnacentral:rRNA from 1 species
GAUGAACGCUAGCUACAGGCUUAACACAUGCAAGUCGAGGGGAAACGAUAUUGGAAGCUUGCUUCCGAUAGGCGUCGACCGGCGCACGGGUGAGUAACGCGUAUCCAACCUGCCCACCACUUGGGGAUAACCUUGCGAAAGUAAGACUAAUACCCAAUGAUAUCUCUAGAAGACAUCUGAAGGAGAUUAAAGAUUUAUCGGUGAUGGAUGGGGAUGCGUCUGAUUAGCUUGUUGGAGGGGUAACGGCCCACCAAGGAGACGAUCAGUAGGGGUUCUGAGAGGAAGGUCCCCCACAUUGGAACUGAGACACGGUCCAAACUCCUACGGGAGGCAGCAGUGAGGAAUAUUGGUCAAUGGACGAGAGUCUGAACCAGCCAAGUAGCGUGCAGGAGGACGGCCCUAUGGGUUGUAAACUGCUUUUAUAAGGGAAUAAAGUGAGCCUCGUGAGGCUUUUUGCAUGUACCUUAUGAAUAAGGACCGGCUAAUUCCGUGCCAGCCGCCGCGGUAA